rnacentral:lncRNA from 1 species
GUUCAUGCUUGCGUUGAAAGAGUGGUCGUUUACGCUGGGUCAUCACUGUGUAGUAUUGGGGAUACUUAGGUGAGAAAAAAACUUAACGCUAGAGACGUUCACGCACUAGUGGAGAAGCCAGGAUUGUUGCCCUAGAGUUACAGUAGAUAAAAGUACCUGAGAGAACUGCGGGGGCUCCCAACCUGGACGCUUGCACCGGAGUAUUAAAUCCAGCUAGAGAAUGGCAUGUGCAAAGAUACAGAGCUUUUAGAAGUUGCCUGCAUUCCUUGGCCCCUUCCUCACAUCAUUCCAACCAACUUCCAUCCUUACAAUCGAUUACUUUCCUGUAAUAGCCACAGUCAGAUGGGCAGCUGAAGGUGAUGAUGAUGAUCUUGACACCGAGAAGCAGAAGACCAAUGAAGAUGACCAGACAGCAAAAAAGGAUAAGUUAAAAGAAGGUAAAAGAAGGCCACUCGUACUUGCUGUCUCAGUAUCUAAAGGUGGUCACCUUCCAGUAGAGAGGCCCACCCACUGCAGACAGUGCCACCGAAGGUGACAUGCACUUUCUGCCACCCAUCCAAAACUGUAACGUGAAUCUGCAACAGGAGAGGAAAGAAGAAC